ensembl:lncRNA
CUCUAAAAAAACUAUCAUAUUGUCUAUUGUUUUUCUUAAAUCUAUAAAUGUUUUGCAGGUCUUAAGUCAGUUGUCUUGCUCCAGUUUUUGAUCUUUGGAAUAAACUUAUUAUUAGUAGCAUAUUAUUAUAGAUUAACUUAUUUUGGCUUUUAGUAUUUGUCCUGUUGUUCACAUGAUUUCAUUUGUAUGUUGGGAACCAAUUUUUUGUAAACAUCAAGAGUUCUUUCAACACUGACACAAUUGCAAGGAAUUUGAGAAAGAAUGUGAAUUGAACACAAGUCUUGAAAAAGUCACUAAACUCGUGAUCUGAUCUACCGUUCUGGACCUUAUAUGACCAUCUACUGAAUUUCUGGCUUUCCACUGAUGACAACAAACACCUUUGUAAGUAAAAUUAACAUAGUGCUCGUACCUUAGAUUUUGAGGUGAGCAAUGCCAGGGACAUCUGCAGCCACAGGACAGGUAAAACACUUCUAUCCUCCUCCAGCAACACAUCAGAAUUCUUGGUAAUUAAGAAAGGCUAGAGAAUACAUAUGUCAGCAGAUCUAUGUGGUUUUGUUUCCACAGGAAUACCUUAUCCUUCAUUUUAUUUUGCCCCUACUAAUUCUUUGCCUCAGCACACAGAAAAAUAACUGCACAACUGCAGUUUCAGAUACAUGUUACAAUCCUGCCUUCUGCUCAGUAUAAAAUAUUUUUACUCACCUCCCAGUGUGCAGUCCAGUGAGAAUAAAAUACAUUGCUAAGAAAUUAUUAAUAUAUGCAACCUUACUUGACUUUCCUUUUAGCUGCUGAAAUAAGAUACUUAAUUUCUUUACAAGUCUGUGUGGAUAGAUGUCUAGAGUUUAUGAACUGUCAAAAGUGUGAUUUAAGGAUAACUAGCAGAGCUGCAAAGCAAACAAGAAGCUGCUCAGCACUGGGUAGUGACAGUGCUUGUUUAAAAUCUGUUUAAGGAUCCACUGUUCCUAUUACGAUGUACAGUGCAUCUGUAGAAUUUUUCUUACAGAACAGGCAUCUCCAGGGCAUUAUUAUCACAAAGUUAUAAAUAAAGUACAGAAAGUUUUCAGUAUAUUUUCAAAACACAUGGUACUAGGAAUAGAUUAAGGAGUUUACUAUUCGUGAUCAAAGACAAUAGCUAAUGCUGCUGUAGUGGUGGUGAACAAAAGCAAAUUUUAAAAUGCUCUAUUAUUUCAUGCUUUAAAAAAAAAAACAAAAACAAACAAAAAAACAACUCAGUAUCAUCUUAGAGGUUAUUUUUUCAAGAACUAAUAAAAAAUACAAUGUAAUUAUUUUAAUACUUAAUUGUCACCCAAUCUGGUAAUGAAGGGAAAUAAAAAGCAUUAAGUCUUUCAGAAACUUUUUCUCCACAUAUUUACUAUCUUUUCUAUAAAUUCAGAAUCUGGUCUGUGCACUAUUUUUGGACUGUAAGCAAUCCACAGAUAAUCUGGUACUAGCAUUCAUGUCUGGAAAUUUAGUAUCUUUUGGCUUGUUUGACUGAACUUGCAUGAUAGUCCUGCUGGAUGUGGGUACUUAACACAUCACUAGUCCUGUUCAAAUAUUAUUCUGCGUGAUUUUUCUCUGACUGUCACUAAAAUUCAUUCUUUCUGUAAGGCUAUGUCGACGGUUUACGGGCUGGUCUGGCCCGGUUCCAUGACUAGUGGGGCGGAGGGAUUUUUUUGCAACAUCCGUGCCUCCGGAAAAGAGAAACAGG